UGGGGAAUAUUGCGCAAUGGGGGAAACCCUGACGCAGCAACGCCGCGUGAAGGAUGACGGUUUUCGGAUUGUAAACUUCAGUAAUCAGGGAAGAUAAUGACGGUACCUGAACCAAAGCCACGGCUAACUACGUGCCAGCAGCCGCGGUAAUACGUAGGUGGCAAGCGUUGUCCGGAUUUACUGGGUGUAAAGGGCGUGUAGAUGGGUGCUUAAGUCAGACGUGAAAUGCCGAAGCUCAACUUCGGAGCUGCGUUUGAAACUGGGCAUCUUGAGUGCAGGAGAGGAAAGCGGAAUUCCUAGUGUAGCGGUGAAAUGCGUAGAUAUUAGGAGGAACACCAGUGGCGAAGGCGGCUUUCUGGACUGUAACUGACAUUGAGGCGCGAAAGUGUGGGGAGCAAACAGG
rnacentral:rRNA from 1 species